rnacentral:tRNA from 2 species
GCAUGGGUGGUUCGGUGGUAGAAUUCUCGCCUGCCACGCGGGAGGCCCGGGUUCGAUUCCCGGCCCAUGCA